GUGUUCAAGCAAUCGCUGUUCACAAUACGUGUUCAGAGGAAAGUCCAUGCUCGCACGAUCUGAGAUGAUCGUAGUGUUCGUGCCUGACGAAAUCAUAAGUCAGGGCCGGUUGGCAUUCAGCUGACCGGACGGCAGAGAAAAGCUCUACGUAAGCUUGAUGCUUAUAGGAGCUGAUGAUCUUGAAAGUGCCACAGUGACGGAGCCUGUUCGGAAACGGACAGGGUGGAACGCGGUAAACCCCUCGAGCGAGAAACCCAAAAAUAUGGUAGGGGCGCCUUUCCGAAGGAAUUCAACGGAGGAAAGGGCAGUUGAUAUGCUCAACUGCAGAUAGAUGAUUGCUUCCGGCGUGCGAGGUGAAUAACCGUUUAAGCACAAAGGAACAGAACAUGGCUUAUCGAA
rnacentral:RNase_P_RNA from 1 species